AUGAAGCGAUCGACCAGGAAAACAGCCGGCAACUGUUAUCAUCAGGUUGUAAAAUGUAAACCUUGUGUCAUGCAGACACGGGGCUCCGUGGUCUCCUUGAAACCGGCGCAGAUCGCCUUGAGGACGGCCGUGCUCUCCAGCUUCCCUGCAAAACAGAAACAAAACCACGAUCAGUUUCUUUCAGGCAAAUCCAGCAGUGUCAAUUCUCUUGUCGCCAUGAAACUUGGAGCAACCGAACCCGAUCGUACCCCUGUACUGCACGUUGUUGAUGACCAGCGUGGGCAGGAUGGUGACGUCCCCUCGAUUCCCCUGCCCGACCUGCACGACCUGCUCCGUCCGGAGCACGUCGUUGUCGGCGUCGGCGUCGGGGUCGCCCAUGCACUUCUCAAUCAUCUCCGCCGGCAGGCCGAGCGACGCCACCACCUCCUCGGCGCACCCGCGGGAGUACUUCUUCUCCCGCAUGGAGCACCGCACGCGGUAGUCGGCCACGAAGUCCCACCACGCCCACGACGCGUUGCGGGCGUUGGCCACCCGGUGCACGCACAGCUGCCGGAGGUUCUCCAGCACCACGUCGCGGCCCCGGUAGCCGGCGCCGAGGUCCCCCUCCGGGUCCGGCGCGCAGUAGCGGCCGCGGUUGAUGCACUGCGACGCGCACUGCCGCGUGCCGCGGUACUCGUCGGGGCAGAACCAGGUGAUGUAGUGCGGCGUGAAGAGCGCGUCGCCGGCCUUCUCCAGCAGCUGCGCGUGGCCCCGGAACGCCGCCACGAACGCCGCCUGCUCGUCGCACCGCGGCCCGCACUCGUCGUUGCUGUUGGUCCACAGCUCGUACUCCACCCGCGCGUCCGGGUUCGGCAUCGACUCGCGCCAGUCGAGACGGACCACCACCUCGGCGCCGCCGGAGCUGGACGCCGCGGCGCGGAGCGCGUCGCCGAAGGGCUUGGAGACGAGCGCGGAGGGGGCGGUGAUGUUGGCCAGGAAGGCCAUGUCGGGGGUCUCCUCCUCCGGGGUGUCCAUGGUCAGCAGCGGCUCGUCCACGCUGUCGGCGACCAGCACCGCCGCCGCGCCCGCCUGCUGCGCGUGCCACGUCUUGAGCGCGAAGUAGCAGCCGCCGCGGUCCACCAGGAGCACCACGGGCCGGCUGGACCGCGACUUGAACGCCGUCGCCCCGAACGGCUUGCACCCGUUGGCCUGCCCCGCGUCCGCCGGGUACAGCACCACGCCGGUCAGCGUGCCGCCGUAGUCCGGGACGCCGUAGUUGGCGAUCGCGGCCUCGUGGCGGCCCCGGAGCGAGUGCGGCGACAGCACCUUGAUGCUGUUCUUCUCCACCACGAACCGCGCCGACGCCACGCUCGCCGUGGCCACGACGACGAGCCACAGCGCGGCCGCGAGCCUGCCCCUCCUCCCGUGCCCGUGGAGCGCCAUCGCCAUGCCUCUCGGUCCGGUCUAGCUCUGCUUCCUCUGCGUUCUUGGGAAGAAAAUUUCGUGGCUGGGUUGGUUAAAACAGGAGACCACGUAGUGGAGACGACAUGGAAGUUUUCCAGGCAUGUGUCAAGGCUGGAACUAGAGCGCUUCGCCGGAGAAAUGGCAUACAAGCAGGGGAUAAGAAAAAAAAGGAAGAAAUGA
rnacentral:rRNA from 1 species